AACGAACGCUGGCGGCAGGCCUAACACAUGCAAGUCGAACGAAGCCUUCGAGCUUAGUGGCGGACGGGUUAGUAACGCGUGGGAACGUACCCUUUGCUACGGAACAACAGUUGGAAACGACUGCUAAUACCGUAUGAGCCCUACGGGGGAAAGAUUUAUCGGCAUUGGAUUAGCCCGCGUUGGAUUAGGUAGUUGGUGGGGUAAUGGCCCACCAAGCCGACGAUCCAUAGCUGGUUUGAGAGGAUGAUCAGCAACACUGGGACUGAGACACGGCCCAG
rnacentral:rRNA from 1 species